AUUGAACGCUGGCGGCAGGCCUAACACAUGCAAGUCGAGCGGAUGAAGGGAGCUUGCUCCUGGAUUCAGCGGCGGACGGGUGAGUAAUGCCUAGGAAUCUGCCUGGUAGUGGGGGAUAACGUCCGGAAACGGGCGCUAAUACCGCAUACGUCCUGAGGGAGAAAGUGGGGGAUCUUCGGACCUCACGCUAUCAGAUGAGCCUAGGUCGGAUUAGCUAGUUGGUGGGGUAAAGGCCUACCAAGGCGACGAUCCGUAACUGGUCUGAGAGGAUGAUCAGUCACACUGGAACUGAGACACGGUCCAGACCCCUACGGGAGGCAGCAGUGGGGAAUAUUGGACAAUGGGCGAAAGCCUGAUCCAGCCAUGCCGCGUGUGUGAAGAAGGUCUUCGGAUUGUAAAGCACUUUAAGUUGGGAGGAAGGGCAGUAAGUUAAUACCUUGCUGUUUUGACGUUACCAACAGAAUAAGCACUGGCUAACUUCGUG
rnacentral:rRNA from 1 species